rnacentral:tRNA from 3 species
AGGGGUGUGGCGCAACUGGCAGCGCAGCGGCCUCCAAAUCCGAAGGUUGCAGGUUCGAGUCCUGUCACCCCUG